UACGUAGGGGGCAAGCGUUGUCCGGAAUCAUUGGGCGUAAAGAGCGUGUAGGCGGCCUGGUAAGUCCGCCGUGAAAGUCCAGGGCUCAACCCUGGAAUGCCGGUGGAAACUGUCAGGCUCGAGUCCGGAAGAGGCGAGUGGAAUUCCUGGUGUAGCGGUGAAAUGCGCAGAUAUCAGGAGGAACACCAAUGGCGAAGGCAGCUCGCUGGGACGGUACUGACGCUGAGACGCGAAAGCGUGGGGAGCAAACAGG
rnacentral:rRNA from 1 species